GACGUAGGAAGCGAGCGUUGUCCGGAAUUACUGGGCGUAAAGGGCGUGUAGGCGGGCGGCGCAUCCGGGAGUAAAUCCCACGGCUUAACCGUGGAACCAUCUCGGAGAUGGCCGCUCUUGAGGACAGGAGAGGAAAGUGGAAUUCCCGGUGUAGUGGUGAAAUGCGUAGAUAUCGGGAGGAACACCAGUGGCGAAGGCGACUUUCUGGCCUGUUCCUGACGCUGAGGCGCGAAAGCCAGGGGAGCGAACGGGAUUAGAAACCCUUGUAGU
rnacentral:rRNA from 1 species